rnacentral:piRNA from 1 species
AGAGAUGUUCAUUGUCAAUCUGUGUGUG